GUGCCAGCAGCCGCGGUAAAACGUAGGAGCCUAGCGUUAUCCGAAUUCACUGGGCGUAAAGCGCGUGCAGGCGGCCAGAUAAGUUGGAUGUGAAAUCUCCCGGCUCAACUGGGAGAGGCCGUUCAAAACUAUCUAGCUCGAGGGCGAUAGAGGGAGGUGGAAUUCCCGGUGUAGUGGUGAAAUGCGUAGAUAUCGGGAGGAACACCAGUGGCGAAAGCGGCCUCCUGGAUCGUACCUGACGCUGAGAUGCGAAAGCUAGGGGAGCAAACGGGAUUAGAAACCCUAGUAGUCC
rnacentral:rRNA from 1 species